rnacentral:rRNA from 1 species
CGUGGCUCAGAGCGAACGCUGGCGGCAGGCAGAACACAUGCAAGUCGAGCGGGCACCUUCGGGUGAGAGCGGCAGACGGGUGAGUAACACGUGGGAACGUGCCCUUCGGUUCGGAAUAACAGAGGGAAACUUGAGAGAAUACCGGAUACGCCCUUUUGGGGAAAGGUAGACUGCCGAAGGAUCGGCCCGCGUCUGAAGAGCUUGUUGGUGGGGUAACGGCAGACCAAGGCGACGAAGAGUAGCUGGUCUGAGAGGAUGAAGAGCCACACUGGGACUGAGACACGGCCCAGACUCAGACGGGAGGCAGCAGUGGGGAAUAUUGGACAAUGGGCGCAAGCCUGAUCCAGCCAUGCCGCGUGAGUGAUGAAGGCCAGAGGGUUGUAAAGCUCUUUUGUCCGGGACGAUAAUGACGGUACCGGAAGAAUAAGCCCCGGAGAACUUCGUGCCAGCAGCCGCGGUAAUACGAAGGGGGAGAGCGUUGCUCGGAAAGACUGGGCGUAAAGGGCGCGUAGGCGGCCGAAGAAGUCGGGGGUGAAAGCCUGUGGCAGAACCACAGAAUUGCCUUCGAUACUGGUUGGCUUGAGACCGGAAGAGGACAGCGGAACUGCGAGUGUAGAGGUGAAAUUCGUAGAUAUUCGCAAGAACACCAGUGGCGAAGGCGGCUGUCUGGUCCGGUUCUGACGCUGAGGCGCGAAAGCGUGGGGAGCAAACAGGAAGAGAUACCCUGGUAGUCCACGCCGUAAACGAUGAAUGCCAGCCGUUGGUCUGCUUGCAGGAGAGUGGCGCCGAGAACGCAAGAAGCAUUCCGCCUGGGGAGUACGGUCGCAAGAAGAAAACAGAAAGGAAUUGACGGGGGCCCGCACAAGCGGUGGAGCAUGUGGUAGAAUUCGAAGCAACGCGCAGAACCAGACCAUCCCUUGACAUGGCAUGAGACCUCGAGAGAUCGGGGAUCCUCUUCGGAGGCGUGCACACAGGUGCUGCAUGGCUGUCGAGAGCUCGUGUCGUGAGAUGUUGGGAGAAGUCCCGCAACGAGCGCAAUCCACGUCCAGAGUUGCCAAGAUAGAGUUGGGCAAGAGAGGGAGACUGCCGGUGAUAAGCCGCGAGGAAGGUGUGGAUGACGAGAAGUCCAGAUGGCCCAGACGGGGUGGGAGACACACGUGAGACAAUGGCGGUGACAGUGGGACGCGAAACCGCGAGGUUGAGCAAAUCCCCAAAAGCCGAGAGAGUUCGGAUUGCACUCUGCAACUCGGGUGCAUGAAGGCGGAAUCGAGAGUAAUCGUGGAAGAGCACGCCACGGUGAAUACGUUCCCGGGCCUUGUACACACCGCCCGAGACACCAUGGGAGUUGGUCAGACCCGACGGCGCUGCGCCAACCGCAAGGAGGCAGGCGACCACGGUAGGGAGAGCGACUGGGGUGAAGUCGUAACAAGGUAACCGUA